AAUCUGCCCUGCACUCUGGGACAAGCCCUGGAUCUGGGUCUAAUACCGGAUACUGACCCGCUUGGGCAUCCUGGCGGUUCGAAAGCUCCGGCGGUGCAGAUGAGCCCGCGGCCUAUCAGCUAGUUGGUGAGGUAAUGGCUCACCAAGGCGACGACGGGUAGCCGGCCUGAGAGGGCGACCGGCCACACUGGGACUGAGACACGGCCCAGACUCCUACGGGAGGCAGCAGUGGGGAAUAUUGCACAAUGGGCGAAAGCCUGAUGCAGCGACGCCGCGUGAGGGAUGACGGCCUUCGGGUUGUAAACCUCUUUCAGCAGGGAAGAAGCGAAAGUGACGGUACCUGCAAAUAAUCGCCGGCUAACUACGUGCCAGCAGCCGCGGUAAUACGUACGGCGCGAGCGUUGUCCGGAAUUAUUGGGCGUAAAGAG
rnacentral:rRNA from 1 species